CGGAAUUCGUUAUCUCUGUGAAGAGUGUGGAUGGCAACAGGACCAGUUGCCCAUUUGGACAUCCUCCAAAACCUGGUGGCUAAUACACGCAGGAGACAGUCUGCCAUGCUAGUGUCCAGCUGGAAACCUCCGGGUGGAAGGUUUGGAGCACAUGGUGGAUUGCAACUGGCUGUAUGCAAGACCGGCGCCAGUCAAUGGCAGUGUGGCAGCUGAAUCAAGCCAGUCCUAAUGGACACCCGCUCUGGAGGUCUAGUGCUCCGGCACUGCCCCUUGAUCACACGAACUUCUGACCUAUCAGCUUUGACUGUAGGGUAGUGGCCUACAGUGGCUUUCACAGGUGACGGAGAAUUUGGGUUCGAUUCCGGAGAGGGAGCCUGAGAGACGGCUACCACUACCAAGGUGGGCAGCAGGCGCGCAAAUUGCCCAAUACAGACACAUCUUGUGAGGCAGCGACGAACUGCAGCAAUCCUGCAGGCAUCCUUGCCUGCAGGACUUGGAAUGGAUGCUAUCCAAACACAGUGAUGAGUAACGACUGGAGGGCAAGUCUGGUGCCAGCAGCUGCGGUAAUUCCAGCUCCAAGGGCGUAUACUAACAUUGCUGCUGUUAAAGCACUUGUAGUCUGCCACUGGGCUGCAGGUCUGCUGGAUGGCCGGCUGGCUUGGGUACACUGCUGCAUGUUCCUUCGGGGAUGUGACAGGGUUGCCUGGGUUGGUUGGAACACAACCUCUGGCAGUAUGUCCCUGCUCCCAACAACACUGGAUGGUGAGAAGCAUUGCUCCUGCACAAAGACUUCUUCAGUGAAGUCCAAGGCGGUUACACAGCUGAGGCAUGUCUGGACAUCACAGGCUGAGCUCUCUUCAUGAUGGCAGCCUAGUCCACCUCCGGAGUCCACCAUCAGUGCAACCCUGGAUAACUCAGUGUGCUCCAAGCGUCCAGUCUUGGCUGGAUGCUCAUCCAUGGAAUUGCAAAGCAUCGACCGAACGUGGCAUCAGAGUUGUGCUGGCCUUGGCGCCUGUUCCGGAUAAUGUGGAGCUGUUCCCUGGCUGUGGCUGAAGCCUCACUCACCCUGGCCAAAACCAGGGAGUGCUGUGGUCUUCCAGCACUACCAGUAAGAGCAGUAUCCAACCGCUGAUGAUGGGAAUGCUCAGGGUGAAACCUAUUGCAACGCCAGAGGUGAAAUUCUUAGACCGCUGCAAGAGGGACAGCAGCGAAGGCGUUCUGCAAGUCCAUGUCCGUCGAUCAAGAAUGAGAGUGUGGGGAGCGAAGAUGAUCAGACACCGUCGUAGUCCACUACUGUAAACUAUGCCGGCUCAGUCUUGGUGAGGCAAGUAUCCGGACCUCAUCAGGACUAGUCCCCCUUCAACGAGAAAUCCAAGCCUUUGGGUUCAGGGGGGAGUACUGUCGCAAGGCUGGAACUUAAAGGAAUUGACGGAAUGGCACCACAAGGCGUGGAGUAUGCGGCUUAAUUUGACUCAACACGGGGAAUGUUACCAGGUCAGGACCUUGCUAGGAUGGACAGACUGACAGCUCUUUCUUGAUUCCAGGGAUGGUGGUGCAUGGCCGCUCCUGAUUGGUGGAGUGAUUUGUCUGGUUGAUUCCGAUAACGAGUGAGAUCUCUGCCUUCCAAUAGCCCCAAGCUCAUAUCUGUAGGGUAGGCAUCAGUGAAGUCCGCGGAGGCAACUCUGACCGGGCACUGCUUGUCUCCUGAGAGCUCUGGGUAAUCAGCUUCUCUGAGGUGCUGUGUACGCUGCCAAGUGCACGCAUGCUAGAGCCAACAGCAGGUCUGUGAUGCUCCCAGAUGUCCUGGGCCGCACGCGCACUACAUUGCUUCAGUGAAGGUGUUACACUCUCUUGCAGAGUCCUAUCCAGAAGUGGAUGGGAAACCAUCCAAGCCUGAGGCGUACUGGGGAUAGAUGAUUGCAACUGUCUGCCUUGAACGAGGAAUGCCUAGUAUGCGCAUUCAUCAGCAUGACAGAUGGGUUUUA
rnacentral:rRNA from 1 species